rnacentral:rRNA from 1 species
UACGUAGGGUGCGAGCGUUAAUCGGAAUUACUGGGCGUAAAGCGUGCGCAGGCGGUCUCGCAAGUCCGAUGUGAAAUCCCCGGGCUCAACCUGGGAACUGCGUUGGAAACUACGGGGCUGGAGUACGGCAGAGGGGGGUGGAAUUCCGCGUGUAGCAGUGAAAUGCGUAGAUAUGCGGAGGAACACCGAUGGCGAAGGCAAUCCCCUGGGCCUGCACUGACGCUCAUGCACGAAAGCGUGGGGAGCAAACAGG